CUAGAAACCAGAGUGCAUUUCCUCGUUAGUAUAGUGAAGACAGCAGAGAGAGAGAGAAGCGUUUAGUGAAUAAACCCACCACAGCUAUCAUUUCAGCAUAAGCCCCUUUCUGAAUCUGUAACAACCGCUAGAGUAUGGAGGUCAUGAAAUCCAACGCCAGAGUCCAGAAACUACCUCAUAAAAUUCAGAGAAAUGAAAGAC
rnacentral:lncRNA from 1 species